ACCUGCCCACCACUUGGGGAUAACCUUGCGAAAGUAAGACUAAUACCCAAUGAUAUCUCUAGAAGACAUCUGAAAGAGAUUAAAGAUUUAUCGGUGAUGGAUGGGGAUGCGUCUGAUUAGCUUGUUGGCGGGGUAACGGCCCACCAAGGCAACGAUCAGUAGGGGUUCUGAGAGGAAGGUCCCCCACAUUGGAACUGAGACACGGUCCAAACUCCUACGGGAGGCAGCAGUGAGGAAUAUUGGUCAAUGGACGAGAGUCUGAACCAGCCAAGUAGCGUGCAGGAUGACGGCCCUAUGGGUUGUAAACUGCUUUUAUAAGGGAAUAAAGUGAGUCUCGUGAGAUUUUUUGCAUGUACCUUAUGAAUAAGGACCGGCUAAUUCCGUGCCAGCAGCCGCGGUAAUACGGAAGGUCCGGGCGUUAUCCGGAUUUAUUGGGUUUAAAGGGAGCGUAGGCCGGAGAUUAAGCGUGUUGUGAAAUGUAGAUGCUCAACAUCUGCACUGCAGCGCGAACUGGUUUCCUUGAGUACGCACAAAGUGGGCGGAAUUCGUGGCGUAGCGGUGAAAUGCUUAGAUAUCACGAAGAACUCCGAUUGCGAAGGCAGCUCACUGGAGCGCAACUGACGC
rnacentral:rRNA from 1 species